AUUGAACGCUGGCGGAAUGCUUUACACAUGCAAGUCGAACGGCAGCACGGACUUCGGUCUGGUGGCGAGUGGCGAACGGGUGAGUAACAUAUCGGAACGUAUCCAAUAAUGGGGAAUAACCAGUCGAAAGAUUGGCUACUACCGCAUACGCCCUUCGGGGGAAAGCGGGGGUCGCAAGACCUCGCGUCGAUGGAUGAGCCGAAGUCGGAUUAGCUAGUUGGUAGGGUAACGGCCUACCAAGGCGACGAUCCGUAGCUGGUCUGAGAGGACGACCAGCCACACUGGGACUGAGACACGGCCCAGACUCCUACGGGAGGCAGCAGUGGGGAAUAUUGGACAAUGGGGGCAACCCUGAUCCAGCGACGCCGCGUGUGUGAAGAAGGCCUGCGGGUUGUAAAGCACUUUUAGUGGGGAUGAAAAGCACAUUGCUAAUACCAGUGUGUCUUGACCUAACCCAAAGAAAAAGCACCGGCUAACUCUGUGCCAGCAGCCGCCGUAA
rnacentral:rRNA from 1 species